CCCCGCCCUGCCUAGAGGAGGAGGGAGGCUGGGCUGAGCUGGCUGAGUGCCAUUUUAAGCAGCCCCUCUCCAGAGCCAGCCCUUUCAUGUAGCUCAUCUACCCUCCAUUGCCACCCUAGUGCUCCUGUGAGCCAGAGAGUGGAGCGGAUGAGCUCGUUCUGCCUACCCACGAGAAGCAGCAGCGGUGGUGGCGGCAGCCCCUGGGAAGGUAAACACAGCGGCUGGGGCUGGGGGGUGGGGAGGAGGACUACUUUGCCUCUUCUUCCAGCCCCACGGUGCUGCUUCUCCGGCCCUCCACAAGGUCUGAGGAACAGCCCGUUGUGGCGUCCGUACGGAGCCCCCAGUUGUCUCACGGACUAUUGACCCGUACACCAUUAAUCCACUGCCACCAACCAGGUCCUCCCUGGUAAAAUCACUUCAGUCACAGUCAGCUUUUCAAUUCAUAAAGAAGAGUGUAUUUUAUUUCAGACUUAAAACAAAACUAUUACAGCAUUCCAAACAGUGUUCCUCUUUACUUUCUUAGUCUUAUGUUCCUCUCUCUAUCUCUGCUACCACCCCACACUCAAUGACCAACUGCCCUAACUGUCUCUCUAUUACCAACUGCCUUUCUCAACCAGCCAACCCACUCAAAAACCAACCAACUACCCACCCACAACUCCCAACGAACUAACCCCCAGAAUUCCUCCCAGAACUCCUUUAUAGACCCACUGACUCCACCCCCCUGGGUCCUGUCUGUGCAGCCUAUUUAACUAUUUCCCCUCCAGCACUCUCUCAUAUAUGGUAACGUCACACCCGUGGUUAAAAAAAAUUGCCAACCCCGAUCUAUGCAACCUCAAGGCUGUGCAAUGUUUGCCUGUCAGCACUGCCACCACAAGUAUAUGCUGUGUUCUUGUAAAUAAGCUUGCAUACUCUGCAAGAAGCAUUUUUAGACAUUGCAGUUUUCAAGAAAUCAUUUUUUUUAAAAAAAAAUAUUUAUUACUUUUCAAAAAAUUUAAACACUAAAAAGACAAUACAAUACAGUACAUUACAAUACAAUACAUUAAAACAGAAAUAAUAAAAUAAAUCAAACAAUUUCAUUAUCCCAUCUUUCAUUCACUUAUUUCCACGACCUCCUCACACCUCCCUUUUUGUAUUCCACUUCUGUUAAUUAUUUCAGCAAUUCCUUUCCAUCUUCCUCUGAUUUCUAUCCUAUAAUUAUCUUAACUCAUUCUAACCUUAUUUUUUCCUUUAAUACUCUAUUAAUCUAUUUAUACUUAAUUCCUUAUAACAUUUCUACUAAAGCCAUGUAACUUCAUUCCAACAUUUUUCUAACAUUCAUUAAUUUUACAGUUUUCUGUAAAUAGUCUUUAAUUUUUUUUCCAGUCUUCUUCCACCGACUCUUCUCCCUGGUCUCGGAUUCUACCAGUCAUUUCUGCCAGUUCCAUAUAGUCCAUCAAUUUCAUCUGCCAUUCUUCCCGGGUAGGUAAUUCUUGUGUCUUCCAACAGUUUUCAAGAAAUCCUAAGGACACGAGGUCUUUCUCACAGCAUGCUUGUGAGGCAACGCUUAGCUCACCCUCAGAUCUCACCUACAUGAGAUAAUGCGAAGACUAAACCUUAAUCCUAGGAAAGAGAUGGGAAUCCAGAAUCUGACUGGUGAAGAAAAGACCAUUCCUUAUUGCCCAUAGCUGAGGUUUGGUCUUUAGUGUUUUCUGAAGGCAGGUUUGUUGAAUUCCGGCUGUACCAUUGGUGAGGAACCUCCAGAUGAUGGGCUGGAUGCAGCUCCCUAUCUAGUUCACUGGCAUUUCUCCAGGUUCCAUGUCUUCUCCUUGGCCCCCUUUGUAAUCUCCGAUCAGAUGAGCAGAUUGCAGGGAAGGUUAAUGGCGGCUGAAAUAUCCUAGUUUAGGACUUCAAGACUGUAGGCAACAUACAGGGAAAACCAGCUGAUCUGCAUGCCUUUGCUCAGCAGGUAGCUGGACAUUAGUAGCUCCAUGCAGUGAAGAUAGCCCAGGCACAGCAUCACAGAUCCAUUCCUUGUUGUUUAAAAAUGGGAAAGACGGAGGAAAGAAAACAGCGUGCUUGCAUAUCAAUGAAUGACCAAGAGGUAUGACUGGUAGCAGCACUCCUGCUAGCACCAGCUGCCUAAUCCAUAAUAUAAUAAAAAGAAUUGAUGAUGACAAUGACAACAGUGAUGAUGCAUCCAGCCCAUCAUCUGGAGGUUACCCAUCCUAUAGCAAAAAAAGUUUCCAUUUAUUUCACUAGGAGAUAGGGAUUAACAAAUCUGUGGAUUUAAAUCAGGCAUCCCCAACCUUUGGCCCUCCAGAUGCUUUGGACUACAACUCCCAUGAUCCCUAGCUAACAGGACCAGUGGUCAGGGAUGAUGGGAAUUGUAGUCCAAAACAUCUGGAGGGCCAAAGGUUGGGGGUGCCUGAUUUAAAUUGUCUCAGUUUCUUAUUUUCUCAGUCUUAAAUUUGGGUCUCCGCAUUUCCGCAGCAAAUAUAAUAAUAAUAAUAAUAAUAAUAAUAAUAAUAAUAAUAAUAGCAACCACAUGAAAAUUUUCCUGCAUUUUAGUAUGAAUUUCUCCCAAUAAACACAUUUUUUUUAUGCACUCUUUGACUAAUGCACACAUUCUUGGAAGCAUUUUCCAGAACAUAAUGCAUUUUUGAUGACAUUUUCACGAAUCUAUUUGUUUUUAUGCACACUUUCCCCUAACGUAUGCAUUUUUGUAAAUAUUGGUAAAAUUUGGAGAAUUCUGAAAGAUUGCUGUGUUUUGGUUUUUGCAUUGUUUCGCAAUGUUUGGUACAUUCCUCUUUAAAUGUGAACUGAUUCAAAUCUCUUCCCCCAUCCACACUCAGAGAAGACAGAAAUCAGGGAAUAUCUUGAUAUGGAUUUUUAUUAGUCUGGCCUGCUCUUGUUGCAAAAAUGAGAAUUAUUGUUGUGAAUGCUUUUUCAGAAUCCUUAACAGAAUUUCCCCCCCUGCUAUCCUUUCUUCUGCUUCUCUCAGAUGAAUACCUGCCUAGAGUAUUCAUGCCUUUUCUUUUCCAAAAGCAAAGCCCCAGCCACCUAUUCACAUGCAGAGUUUUAAUCUGUGCUGCUCCCAGAUGCAAUCAAAAGCUUGCUCACCUCAUUAGUUAUACCUUAUGGUCCAUAGCAUUGUGAAAACUUGUAGGAAGUGAGAAUAUGACUUCCAUUCAUGGUUUCAGGAUGCAAUCCUACCACCUACGUACGUUGGAGGAAGCCUAGUUUAACUCUACCAGUGAGCCACUCUUACAAGAGUCAUGGAGCUGUUACCAUCUUUCUUAUCUCUAUUUUACCAUGGCAUUGUUGAAUGGUCACUUUAAAAUGUGAAGGUUCAUUAUUGUUUCACAAGUUGUGUAUGUCUUUAAGGGCCAGGGCAUGUAACGAGACCCAGUCUUACAGCUGUGAAACAUAGCAGGUGCUGCUAUGUUGUGUUGAUCAAGCUGCGUCAGCAAUUGGGUACAGUAUAUAAGGAGCAGCACCUAGCUCUCCCAUUUCCCUGGGGGAUGGGUUGGUGGUUGGGUCAUGUUUGUUGUUGUUAUCUUUAGUGUAAAAGGAGUUUUUGGUUUUGUUUUUGUUAUUAAAACCUUGUUAAAGUUUUUUUGAGUCCCUUGUUAUGCAUGGUCUCCCCAGCAAGCUCUCUUGCAGCACUACUAAGCUGCAAAUAGCCAACAGGCAUGUGGUACAGAAUCAGUGCACAGUGCAUUGUCCCAUCCCAUUGUAGAAAGUCAAUGAUGUGAGGCAGAAGCAAGGCAACAUUCAUGAACAUAACCGAAAAUACAUAGAUAUGAAGGUUCAUGUGGUUCUUCAAGAAGAUCAAGGAUUUGGAACCCUUAUGAGGAAUGGUUGAAGGAGCUGAGAAUGUUUUGCCUCAAAAAGAGAUGAUAUGAUGCCCAUCUUCAAAUAUCUCAAGGGCUGUCACGUGGAAGAGGGAACAAGCCUGUUUUCUCCAGGGUAUGACUUGAACCAAUGGCUUCAAGUUGCAAGGAAGGAGAUUCCAACUAAACAUCAGGAAAAACUUUCUGACUGUAAGAGCUGUUUGACAGUGGAACAGUCUCCCUCAGGAGUUUGUGGACUCUUCUUCCUUGGAGGUUUUCAAACAGAGGUUGGAUGAUCAUCUGUCAUGGAUGCUUUAGCUGAGAUUCCUACAUUGCAAAGGGUUGGACUAGAUGAACCUUGAGGUCUCUUCCAGCUCUAAGAGUCUAUGAUUCUAGGGCAGCCUUUCUCAACCUGUGGGUCCCCAGAUGUUGUUGAACUACAACUCCCAUCACCCCUAGCUAGCAAGGCCAGAGCUCAGGGAUGAUGGGAGUUGUAGUCCAACAACAUCUGGGUACCCACAGGUUGAGAACCACUUUUCUAGGGUAUCCUGGAAAAUAGCAUGGCUGGUUAGCUGGAACCCUGAUCAGGAGCAAUUAUGAUGAUGGUGAUGAUACAAAUUCAUAAGGGAUGGGGAGGGAAAUUAAAUUAAUUUUCCAUUUAAAAGUGAGCCCACCUAAUUCACACUUUCAGAAACAAUAUGCCAACUGAAGCACAUCUAUCCUUUGAAAUUCUCACUUCUCCAAACUUUGCAGUACAGAUCUCCAGCCAAGCAGAGGUUCAAUGGCCACAUGUAAUGGAUGCUUUAGUUGAGAUUCCUGGAUUGCAGAAGGUUCCAAACUCUAUAAUUCUACGAUUCUAUGAUUCAUGCAUAUCUAUUUCCCAAGUUAAUGCAGAAGAAGGAAGUAACAGAAUUGUGAAUGGACACAUAUGAAAGUGACAUGGUUUUGAAAUAGAGCCAUCAGUCUGGAAGUCACAGAUUUCCUUGAACUUCUGGAGGAAGAACAGCAAAAAGAAUGAUAGCUCAUGACAGAAGGACCUGGUGGCAUAAUUAUGGCCAUUUCUGAUAAUGGGAAAUGGAGACCGUAAUACAACAAAAUGUCCUAUGGCCACGCAGUAAGAACCUCCCUGCUCACCGUGUGAGACAUCACAGGCAAAAUUAGUUCAACUGAAGUAACAUCAAUGCCCUUGAGGUUUCCUGCUCCUGACAACUAAUGAAGAGGCACUGCUGACUGUCAGGGAGUGGUGUGGGAGGCAUUCAUCUUUGUGGCAGAAGCAAUUAAAUCCACCAGGUUCUCUGAGCACGAUGCGCAUGGAAGGAGUUAAAGCCUCAGCCUUUGUUGUCCUGCAAAAGUUGGCGACAUGUGAGGAUAAGCAUCUAUGAUGUGCCCAAAAUGCACAGGCACCCCUUGAUAGUUUCUUGAAAGGGUGGAGCAGUAGGGACCCACAUAUUUGUAUAAUGAUACUGUUGGGUCGCUGGCAUCCGUCUGUCUCAAGAGACAAUGGAUUGCGUCUCUGGGGGUGAAGUCAAACUGCUGUAUUAGAAGAAGAAGAAGAGUUUGGAUUUGAUAUUCCACUUUAUCACUACCUGAAGGAGUCUCAAAGCGGCUAACAUUCUCCUUUCCCUUCCUCCCCCACAACAAACACUCUGUGAGGUGAGUGGGGCUGAGAGACUUCAAAGAAGUGUGACUGGCCCAAGAUCACCCAGCAGCUGCAUGGGGAGGAGCAGGGAAGCGAACCCGGUUCACCAGAUUACAAGUCUACCGCUCUUAACCACUACACCACACUGGGAACUCCCCAGGUACAUUAAUGUGCAGUGAUCAGAAAUGGCUUUCUUGGUGGGGCAGAGCUCCUAUACGAGCUAUGCAGCAGUCAUGGCUAACUUAAAUGCAUUGAUUUCAAUAGGUCUACUCUGAGUAAGACUUAGAUGCCACUCAAUAUAUUGUGAAUGCAUAUGUAUCACAUUAAAUGCAGGACGCGGGUGGUGCUGUGAUCUAAACCACUGAGUCUCUUGGGCUUGCUGAUUAGAAGGUCGGUGGCUCGAAUCCCCAUGACAGAGUGAGCUCCCAUUGCUCUGUCCCAGCUCUUGCCAACCUAGCAGUUCGAAAGUACACCAGUGCAAGCAGAUAAAUAGGUACCGCUGCGUCGGGAAGGUAAAUGGCAUUUCCGUGCACUCUGGCACUUGUCAUGGUGUUCUGUUGCGCCAGAAGCGGUUUAGUCAUGCUGGCCACAUGACCUGGAAAGCUGUCUGUGGACAAAUGCUGGCUUCCUCGGCUUGAAAGCGAGAUGAGUGCCGCAACCCCAUAGUCACCUUUGACUGGACUUAACCGCCCAGGGGUCCUUUACCUUUACCUAUAUAUCACAUGCUGCUGUUUUGAAGGUGGGUUGUUUCUGAACAGUAGGGGAGACUGUUGGUUUUAUGAAAUAAGACCUCCAUCAUGAGCCAAAAGAAAACCAUCUUGCUUUGCUUGGAUAUGUCGAAACUCUCUGAGGAGGAUUUUAGUUUAAAAACUAACAGACCAUCACAUCUGACAUGGUAAUUACUCAUUAAACCCUUUGUGCCAAAAACCGCCCCAUUUCCCCCUUUCUCACAUUUUGAGCUCAGCAGAAAUGAAGAGAGUUUGUGUCUUGAGAAAUGAUGUCUGGAAAGCCUCUCAAAAAAUAAUUCAGCACAUCGUACCCAUAUUCCACAGGCCAGAUUGCAGCAUUUUGCAUAUCCUGCAAUUAGCCAUCAUUUUAGAAACAUAUGUCUUCUCAAUCACAUAACCUUCUGCUCUGAUACUAUCCUGGCAUCCAGUUCCUAAACACAUUGGAUGCAACCCAGACAAAGUUAGGCUUGCUUACUGUAAGUCUCCCUGAAAUGAUACAAAUGGAUCUUGCAGUCAAAUCUCAGGCAUGUCUCCUCAUGGGGGGAAAAAGCCCAAUAACUUCAGUGGGGCUAACUCCAAAGUAUGUGCAUACAUAGGACUGAAAACUUAAAUUGCAAACUGGGAUUUUUAACAUCCCGCUGGUUCAAAUGGGACCUACAUAUUCAUCACCUUCACUGGACUGAGUUAAUUAUGAAGCAGGGCUGGGGAAACUGAAGCCUUCCAGAUGUUGCCACAACUGCCUCCACCCUAUUGGCCAUGCCGACUGGGGCUUCAUUGUGGUCACAGAGCAUGGGUGAGGAACCUGUGGCCCUCCAGAUGUUGUUGGACCCCAUCAGGCCCAGAGAGCACAGCCACUGGUCAGGGAUGAUAGGAGCUGAUGUCCAUCAACAUCUAGGAAGGCCCCAGUUUAUCCUCACCUGUUAUAGGUUGCCAUGCAGAAGACAUUACGAUAUCUCCAGCUCGUGAAACGAAGCCUGCAUUAAUUUGUUUGGCUCCUUGGCUUAACAUUUUAACUAAACCAUCAAGGCGCCGUCAUGACACCAACAGCAAACUGCUUCUGCUUCAUGUUACAACUGUGCUGCAACUAGAAAAGGCCCCAGGUGUUCACCAUUUCACAGAUUACUCAGAGAAUAUACACAAGCGAAAACAUCCCGCCGGUUUCCUUUCCCCUCCAACCCCCCCCCCCCAGAUUAGAGCCUCAAGAAGCUCGUCGAUUCUUCCCAGUGAAAUUGAAAUUUCAAAAGUGAAUGCGGCGUCUUGGGAGAGAGACGUUGCUAGGAUGAGGAAAUGAAAACACGCCGCACCAGUGGGAACAACACAAUUUGAUAUCAGUCUGUGACUACAAGAGCCAGAGCAGUAGAAAGAUUAAGAAGAAAAACACUAUCUAAAGCCCACCUGGCAAUCGCUCGCGAGAGCUCUCGGGAGCCGGGUGGUGUCAAAUGUUUUUUAAAGUGUGCUAACCCCCCCUCCCCACUCUCUUCUAUCCAUCCUGCCUAAUGAAAAAAGCAUUUUGAUAGAUCUCACAAUGCUUUGAAUUGCUCGUUUUUACAGCGGAGGUGAUUUAGCAGCAGGCUGUGGAGGUUGGAAGCAAGCCAUGGGAGGGAGGCUGUGCCAUUUUUAUUCCUUCGCUAUGGAACUUUCCAAGUAGCCCAGGGAAAGUAAUGAAUACUGAUCUGAUGAUAAGUGAGUUCUCUUCCUUAGGAGGAAAGUGACUCCACGCAGCAAGACCUAUCAAGCCUGAAACAGCUAAGGGUGCAGUUACUUGGGGAAGGGCUGUGGCUCAGUGCUAGAACAUCUUCUUUGCUUGCAGAAGGUCCCAGAAUCAAUCCCAUGGCCUAUGGGCUGGUUCGCCAGCUGCAGCCCCUUUUGCACAAAUAUUACUUGUCCACAGUACUUCAUGUUCUGCUAACUUCCAGCUUGGAUUACUGCAGUGCGCUCUACAUGGGGCUUCCCUUGAAGAGGGUCUCAACUGGUCCAAAAGGCAGCAGGGUUUCCAUUCAGAAUGCACAGAACUCCCAUCCUAAAACAUUGGCUUGCUGUUCAUUCCCAGGCCCGAUUCAAGGUGUUCACAUUAGUGUUUAAAGCCUUAAGUAACGUAAGCCCAAAACAUACGCAAGACCACCUCCUUCCCUGCAGACCAUCCUGGGUGUUAAGAUCAGCAGAGCAGGCCCUCAGAAGAUGUUCUUCUUACUGUGGAAGUUGUGGAAUUCCCUCUCCAAAGAGGUGCAUCUGGCUUCUUCACUAUACAGUGGUACCUUGGUUCUCAAACUUAAUCAGUUCCGGGAGUCCGUUUGACUCCUGAAACCAUUCGGGGGGAAAGGUUUGGCUUCCAAAUGGCUGUAGGAGCUUCCUGCACUCAAACGGAAGCCACAUCGGACAUUCAGCUUCUGAAAAACGUUCGCAAACUGGAAUUCUGGGUUUGUGACAUUCAGGAGCCAAGCCAAGCCAAGGUACCACUGUACAGCAUUUGGCAGAUGCUUAAGAUGCAUCUCUUUAUCCUGGCCUUUGACACCUGAGAUAUUUGUUUGCAAAGCCCACCCUAUUCCUGUGGUUGUACUCUGGUUUAACUGUUUUUAAAAUUUCCAUUUUAAUUUUUCGUAACCUGCCCUAGGACCUGCCGGGGAAGGGCGGGCAAAAAAUUUAAUCAUCAUCGUCUUCCCUAGCAUUUCCCCACAGGGCUGGGAAGGGCUUCUGACUGAAGCCCCGGACAGCCACUGGUAGUCAAUGUAGACAAUACUGAACUGCAUAGACCAGUGGUCUGACUCAGUAUUUGGCAGCUCCCUAUGUUUCUACUUGAAGCGCUCCUUGCUUUUAUGUGAAUUGGCUCACUAGCUGCUGCAUUCACCUUGUCUGUGUCAUGGCCUUCUAGGACAAAACUGGUGGUGACAUGCAAAAGGGCAUGUGUUGGUCCCGGCCCCAAGAGAUUAGGUUGCCCUCCUCUUUGUGUGUGCACUGCUAGCAACUGAAGACACUCCCUUUAAAACAGGGGUCAGCAAACUUUUUCAGCAGGGGGCCGGUCCAUUGUCCCUCAGACCUUGUGGGGGGCCGGACUAUAUUUUGAAAAAAAAUAAUGAACAAAUUCCUAUGCCCCACAAAUAACCCAGAGAUGCAUUUUAAAUAAAAGCACACAUUCUACUCAUGUAAAAACAUGCUGAUUCCUGGACCGUCCGCAGGCCAGUUUUAGAAGGCGAUUGGGCCAGAUCCAGCCCCUGGGCCUUAGUUUGCCUACCUAUGUUUUAAAACGAGCUUUUGAUUCUGCUGCUACUUUAGGUAUUGAUCCAGAAUUUUGUUACAAUAAUAAAAAAGUAACAAAUAUGUAAAACCCGAAACACUGAUACAUCAUCACAUUGAUGUAGCACAGGUAUAUUAGACCAGGAGCUGCACAGCAUUCAAAGACAGAGAAGAUGUUUGGGUCUCAUGCUGGGGCAGCAAGGCUGGUCAGGACCACGGAGAGCUCCAAGUCAACAGCAUGUUCCUAUGCACUCUUUGAACCACUGGAGCAACUGUAGAAGCUUUUGGUUCCAAAGGCUCAUGGGAAGGUGCCCCUUAGUGUCCAGGCUUUGGUUCUAUGUUUCCUAGAGCUAUGGCAGGUGUCAACUUCUGUCUGCCAGCCUUAGGUUCAGUGGAUUGCUGAUGUUCAGAAGUAGGUUCAGAGUCCUGAACCUGAUCCAGCUCCUUAGCUGGAGUCUCUGCAGCCUCCAACUCUGUGUCAUGAUUGCUGCUAGCAUUAGAUCAGGGAGUGAAUCUCUCACUCAGUCAUAAUACAUAGCAAUGCGGGCUUCUCUUGGCAUCGCCUCUUCCUCCCCUUUACCCAACCAGUCAGGAAACAAGGCCAUGUUUUCUAGGAAACAGUGGUGCUUCUGGGAUACGAUACGAUACGAUAAUCUUUAUUGUCAUUGUCCCAUACAGAACAACGAAAUUGAAAAUGUACAUCAGACAUUCAGAAACCAACAAGCCUGCUAUCUCAACUGUCCCAGCCUGGUUAGCCCCCUAAAAACUCUGAUACCCCAUAAGUAAAUACAAUAUACUCCCACAGAGACUACCCUACACUGCGUUUAAAACCAAAAUUGCAUUUGAAUAGAAACUGUUUCUCAGGCGGCUAGUCCUAGUCUUUAUAACCCUGUACCUUCUUCCAGAAGCCAGAAGCUGAAAGAAAUCAUUUCUGGGGUGCGCACUAUCCUGCACUAUCUUUGCAGCUUUCUUAUGACACCUGGAAGCAUAGAUUUGAUCCAAGCUGGGAAGAGUGCACCCAAUUAUUCUCUCUGCAGUCUUUACAACUCUGGACAGCAUUGUUUUUCCCCUGACUGUGCAGCUCCCAAACCACACACACAGACCAUAAGUUAAUACACUCUCAAUAGUACAAUGGUAAAAUGCUAUCAACAGGUCCUUUGAGAGAUUAUGUUUCCGGAGGAUUCUCAGAAAAUUAUCCUCAUGCCUACUUGGGUUGCCUUAGGAAAUCGUGCAAUAUGUUAAUAUGCCCUCACACCCUAUAUGACACAGGGUGGCAUCCAGUUGAACAAUUCCGCUAGUGCAAGGACUUAGUGCUGUGCCAUAGAGCUUGCCACCCCUCUUCUCUCCCCCAAGCAGCCCUUAAAUUUGUUCCUACCAUUCACUUCCUUUUUCUUUUUCCUAGUUUCCAAAAGUAUUCUCCCCUCUUUCUACAUAUUUACUGGACAUCUGGAAAGAGAAAUGUUUUAUUUCAACAAAUAUAAGCUGAUUUCUAAAGUGCCUUUGCCUGAUUGUAAGGCUUGGGGGAUAGAGUAGGUGUGGGGAAUUUUAACAGCUAUCUGAGAAGAAACGGGUGGACUUAUGUUAUGUGUUUGCGAACAUGUAUAGCACACUAAAGUCAGAAAGUAACUACUUUCACUUGCUUUUGAGAAGAGUUUGGUCUACUGUAGUUUUUUUAAAAAAAAUCAUAACCUUAUUUGAGAGUAAUUCCAUCAAACACAGUGUGGCUUACUUUCACAAGAGGCCUUUAUAAGAUUGGGAGCUUUCAUUCAGGGUAAAAACUGAAGCAGGACAGUAUUUUGCCUUUGCUGUACCCAUCACCAGUUCUGGCUCCAUACACCAUCAAAAUAAUAAUAAUAAUAAUAAUGCCUUCAGAUGUCUUCUAAAAGUCUAGUAGUUGUUUUUCUCUUUGACCUCUGGUGGGAGGGUGUUCCAAAGGGCGGGUGCCACUACCAAGAAGGCCCUCUGCCUGGUUCCCUGUAACUUGGCUUCUCACAGUGAGGGAGCCAACAGAAGGCCCUCAGAGCUGGACCUCAGUGUCUGGGCAGAACAAUGGGAGCGGAGACGCUCCUUCAGGUAUACUGCGACAUGCGUCCCCAAUCGAUGAUCUUUGAGGGAAUGUGGCCCUCAACAUAAAAAAGGUCUGCCUCAAGAAGCAGGUGAUGAGGAACAGCUCUGCCUGAACUAAAGAGCAGCUGCCAUUAAAUAGUCUGAUCUAGUAUAAGGGAACUUUCUAUGUACAAUCCAAGACACACUUUCCUGAGAUUACCACUGAAUUUGACAGCACAGAAUCUGAGUAGAAAUUUUAUUAAUGUAUUUAUGAGAUUUCUCACCAUAGGGUCCAGAGAAGGUUACAGUAACAAAAAUAUGCAAUUAUAAAACCAAUGAAACUGUUACAAUGCAUAGGAUUGCACAGUAAUCAGGCAAUCCUGUGCAAACUUAAACUGCAUUCCUACAUUAAGACGCAUUGAACACAGUGCAACAUAAAUAGGAUUGCACUGUCAAACUGAAAAGUCAUACUUUUUUUUUACAAUACGCUACUGAUAAAUCAAGAAGUCAAUUUUUGAAAAUGUUUUGAAUAUGUUGAAAUCCAAAUAAAUUUGUAUUAUGUAAACCACCUAUAAAGUUAAUAUAUUUUAUUAGAUGAGGUGGGGGAAGGACACAAGUUUUCUUUUUUAAUCUAACUGGCUAUUUAAAAAUGUAAAUACAAUUGUACACACAUAGUUAAUUGCACAGAAUGGCCAUCAACAUAUUUCUCUCUUUUGUAUCCCCAGACACAGAAUUCAAAUAUCACGCCACAAUCCUACUCCCCCUUGCAUUUUCAGAAUAAUUUACAUGCAUUGCCAACAAAGAAGCAAGAAAUAGGGGGAAAUGUUUUUGAAGCUGCCUACAGAUUUAACAUACAGAUGCCAGAUUGUCCCCAGUUGCCUUUGGACUGGUAAGGGAAACCUCAAGCUUUGUUGUAUGCACAGUGAAGAAUUAUCAGGCUAAGAAAAACAGAUUCCGGUGCCCUGUCGCUGCAGUAAAAUACACUCAGUUUGAGUUCUGCAUUUUUGUAAAAUAAAGCAAUGGUACGAUUCAGUCUGGCAUGAGCACUUACAACUAAGACCCCCACCACUGCAACUAGGAUUUUGGUUUUCCCCUCUCAUUUUGAGCUGGAGAGACAUAUUACAAAUUACUUCCGAAUGUGCCCCCCCCUCCCCACUUCCAUAAGUGGUUUAACAAGGGUGGUCUCCCCCACAACUAGUGCAAUAUGUCAGCAAGACAGACACAGAGAUCACUGAGAAAUGGUGAUUUCCUCAGGAUUCCCCACACCAGGAGUUGCUGCUUUAGCAGAAAUAGCAACAACAACAAACAGUGUCAUGGCCACUAGGAAAGUAAGUGGUUGCCUGGGGUGGGUGGAAGGAGUUAACAACAACAACAACAACAACAACAACAAUUUUAUUUAUAUCCCGCCCUUCCCGGUUCAAAAACCGGGCUCAGGGCGGCUAACAACAAAUUUAAAAUGCUUAAUUAUAAAAGCAGCAUAAAAUACAGUAUAAAAACAUGAAUAACAAUAAAAUUCAAAAAUCAAUUUAGGGGAAAUAAACAUUAGAUAAUCCCCAGGGCUAGCUGGCUGAAUUGGUCCUACUUGGGCCAGUGAGGAGGCCAGGGGAGAAUUAGCUGUGGGGUCUCAGAGUGGGUAAUCUUCAUAAAAGGGGAGGGGGAGGGAAGAGAAGGGAAAUAAAAGAUCGGGCUGAGUUCAAAUUAAAGGCCAGGUGGAAUAGCCCUGUCUUACAGGCCCAACGGAAGGAGGUUAAAUCCUGUAGGGCCCUAGUCUCACCGGACAGAGCAUUCCACCAGGAGGACCUCUAAACUAUAGUUAUUCAUGGACCUUAAGGUCCUCUGCAGGGCACACCAGGAGAGGCGGUCCUGUAGAUAUGAGGGCCCUAAGCCACAAAGGGCUUUAAAGGUCAAGACCAGCACAUUGAACCUGACCCUAUACGCCACCGGGAGCCAGUGCAACCGGUAAAGCACUGGGUGAAUAUGCUCCCAUGGCAGGGACCCAGUGAGGAGCCUCGCUGCAGCAUUCUGCACCCGCUGGAGUUUGUGGGACAGUUUCAAGGGCAGCCCCGCGUGGAGCAAAUUACAGUAGUCAAGGCUGGAGGUGACCGUCGCAUGGAUCCCUGUGGCCAGGUUGGGGCGGGAAAGGUAAGGGACCAACUGAGAAGAGAAGAGUCCAGUCCUUCUCUAGCUUAAGUUAAAUUUGUAUUGACUCAAGGGUUGUUGUUGUUGUUGUUUAAGAGAAAUGGGCGCCAUUGCAUUCGGCAUCGCAUUGACCCAGCAAGCCAAGAAGGGGGAGACUCUUGGAAACAGAACAUGAAAAAUCAAAACACAAUGAAGGCUGGUCCAUUUGGCGAGUGUGGGGCAGUACCCCACCAAACUCAGUCUGCCCACGCUUGCUUGCCUUCUUGCUUUUAACCAAUCCCUGGCCGUCAGCUUCCUCCUCUUCCUUAAUCUCAGUGUCAUAGAACUCAGCAAGGGGUGGUGGCAAAAGCAGAAUUAAUUGGCUCUGCCUCUCAUUGGCUCUGGCUCCAUCUAAUGGUUAGUUUCUUGUCUUCUGCCCUUCUAGCUCCAGUGGGCACCAGCCAUCUCUGAACACCUACACUGCCGCCAUUCAAGACGCUUGCAAGGUAGAAAUGAAGCUAGAUGCCACAAGGAUCGAUGGGUGUCUUUGUAUACAUAGAAUAAAGCCACUGAUCAUAAAAUCGAAAGGGACUUCAAAGAUCAUCUUAUCCUGUCCUGGCUGAUGCAGGGAAAUCUGUUGUAUAGAACAGUAUUUGUUGUAGGUUUCUUAUUGGUGAAACAUAAAGCCAAUGGAAGAAGAUGGGCAAUGUUAUUGUUGGAAGGAUAACACUGCGAGAUGUCCAUCCAGAUUCAAGCACAAAAAUCUGGGAAGCAAUAAUCUUCUGCUACUUCCCAGUGCUACUGUUAGCAACAAAUUUCUGGCCUGGAUAGGUCAUGGAGAAACAUUCUCUUGUUACUACACCAUUGGGAUCAAUAGGGGGCUUGCAAACAAUAUACCAUACACAGGGGUAGUGAGAGAAUGCCCAUCUUUGCAUUAAUUUGAUUUGUGCUUCCAUCAGUGGCUCCCGAAGUAGGCAAGGAUGGUAUGAAUCAGUGAUUUUUUUGUGGCGCCAGAUGUAAGUGUCCCCAAGCAAGCAGCAAGCAGAGGGCAACUGGAUGCACAAACUUGUUUGACAAUAUAGCCAACUGCACAUGUGAUACGCAACAAUUAUCCAGAACUGCAUUGUGAACAUCAUGGUUAAGUGUUCUCAGAGCACAGAAAGAUGGAAAUAAAAGAGAUACAUUCUGUGUAUGGCUAAAAAAAUAAAGGGUAUUCCUGAAUCAGACCGUGGCACUUUUUGAAUAUUUGGCUAUGCAUUAUCAAACCUCUAAAUGCAGACUUACUCUGAAAUGUUUUCAUCUACAUUUCCUGAGCUAAAAGUAGUUGGGCAAUUAUGCCUGCUUUCAGAGAUUUAGGAAGAUUGGCCCAUUUGCUUUCCUGUCAAAUUGGCAGUAAAAGAAAAAAGGAAAUAAAUCUGGACAUUUGGGACGUUAUGUGAUUCAUGUUGUUUUCUGCGUCAGCAGUUCCUGCAUACAAAAUGCUGCCGAUACUCAGAACUAUAUAAGAAGCCAUGCUACAUGCAUGCUAGGCAAAACCCAAGCAUUCGGGCUAGCCGCGCGAGUACUUUGUAUUUGUCAAUAGUACCUGAAAUCAGCUC
rnacentral:lncRNA from 1 species